GAAGCAUUCAAUAUGUAUUUAUUAUUGGUGAAAAUAUUCAAGACAUAUAUCAGACACUUCAUGUUGAAGUUCUGUCUUUUUGGAUGGGGCACACCCAUGGUUAUUGUUAUGAUUACUCUGGCAAUUGAUAUUGAUAACUACGGUUACUAUAACAACAUAUGUUGGUUAUCCAGGUACGCCUUCUUUGCUGCGUUCUUG